rnacentral:rRNA from 1 species
GACAGAGGGUGCAAACGUUGUUCGGAAUUACUGGGCGUAAAGCGCGUGUAGGCGGCUAAGUAAGUCGGGCGUGAAAUCCCACGGCUCAACCGUGGAAGUGCACCCGAAACUGCAUAGCUAGAGUCCUGGAGAGGAAGGUGGAAUGCUUGGUGUAGAGGUGAAAUUCGUAGAUAUCAAGCGGAACACCGGUGGCGAAGGCGGCCUUCUGGACAGUGACUGACGCUGAGACGCGAAAGCGUGGGGAGCAAACAGG